rnacentral:rRNA from 1 species
AACGCCGGCGGCGUGCCUAAUACAUGCAAGUCGAACGAACCGCGACUAGGUGCUUGCACUUGGUCAAGGUGAGUGGCGAACGGGUGAGUAACACGUGGGUAACCUACCUCAUAGUGGGGGAUAACAGUCGGAAACGUCUGCUAAUACCGCAUAGGACAUGGAAUCACAUGAUUCCGUGAGGAAAGGUGGCGCAAGCUAUCGCUAAGAGAUGGACCCGCGGUGCAUUAGCUAGUUGGUAGGGUAACGGCCUACCAAGGCGAUGAUGCAUAGCCGACCUGAGAGGGUGAUCGGCCACAUUGGGACUGAGACACGGCCCAAACUCCUACGGGAGGCAGCAGUAGGGAAUCUUCCGCAAUGGACGCAAGUCUGACGGAGCAACGCCGCGUGAGUGAAGAAGGUCUUCGGAUCGUAAAGCUCUGUUGUUAGAGAAGAACAGCGCAUAGAGUAACUGUUAUGCGUGUGAC